CGGAGCGCCGGUGACGAGGCCCCGCCCGGGCCUGCGCCGUGCGCGCCCCGCGGCCUUUUCCCGGCGGGACGGGGGCUCCUCGGGAGGGGCGAGCGCGGUCCCCGCGGCGGUGCCGAGGCUGCGGCUCGGGGCGAAGGGGCCGGGGCUCCUGUGCUGUGAGCCGGUUCCCCCUCCCGUCUUCUGGCCGGGCGCGACGUAAGCUCUCAGGCAGGUCGGACUGCCACGUUCGAGACGGCGACUUUUCCCCCUCGGGACUCUCCGCAGCGUCAGGAGUGCUGGCUUUGUUGCCCCAUUCAACAGCCCGGCAAAGCCACAGUCCCCCGUUUUUGUGCUCCUCUGCAGCGUCUGCCGAGGGACAUCCCGAAGGAAACAGGCCUGGAGAUGAAAUGUCCGUGCCUGUACACACAGAAUCGGUCUCUGCACCAGGACCCCAGCACAGCCAAGGGAGGGAAAGCACUGCUGGCUGCACCUCCCCUGCGACUGAGCAGAUUUGAAAUAGCCGAAGCUGUCAGGCGGCAACAAAAGUCUCAGUGUGUGUGCUAGAAAGCUUUCUGUGCUAAAUGCACACUGAACCAGCCUACUUGUCAUGUUUCUUCUAAUGAAGCAUUAGCAUUAGUGUCAAAGCUUGUUAAUGCGAUACAGAAAUUAUGCAGUGAAUAUAUAUUUCCCAAGCUCA